rnacentral:rRNA from 1 species
CCCUUAGAUGUUCUGGGCCGCACGCGUGCUACACUGAGUAAUUCAAUGGGUAAGGGAACGCUAGAGCAUUACCUAAUCUUGAAAUUUGCUCGCGAUGGGGAUCGACGGUUGCAAUUUUCCGUCGUGAACGAGGAAUACCUUGUAGGCGCAUGUCAUCAUCAUGCGCCGAAUACGUCCCUGCCCUUUGUACACACCGCCCGUCGCUCCUACCGAUUGAGUGAUCCGGUGAGGCUCUGGGACCUGGACGGAAAGAGCGUUUCGCUUGUUCUGUUUGGGAAACUUGGUCGAACCUUAUCAUUUAGAGGAAGGAGAAGUCGUAACA